rnacentral:rRNA from 1 species
AUUGAACGCUGGCGGCGUGCUUAACACAUGCAAGUCGAGCGGUAACAGGCGUAGCAAUACGUGCUGACGAGCGGCGAACGGGUGCGUAAUACAUCGGAAUCUGCCUAGUAGUGGGGAAUAACCCGGCGAAAGCCGGGCUAAUGCCGCAUACGAUCCACGGAUGAAAGCGGGGGACUUUCGGGCCUCGCGCUAUUAGAUGAGCCGAUGUCGGAUUAGCUAGNGGUGAGGUAACGGCUCACCAAGGCGACGAUCCGUAGCUGGUCUGAGAGGACGGCCAGCCACACUGGGACUGAGACACGGCCCAGACUCCUACGGGAGGCAGCAGU